rnacentral:rRNA from 1 species
GAUGAACGCUGGCGGCGUGCCUAAUACAUGCAAGUAGAACGCUGAAGGAGGAGCUUGCUCUUCUGGAUGAGUUGCGAACGGGUGAGUAACGCGUAGGUAACCUGCCUGGUAGCGGGGGAUAACUAUUGGAAACGAUAGCUAAUACCGCAUGACAACAGUUAUUGCAUGAUAACUGUUUAAAAGGGGCAACUGCUCCACUACCAGAUGGACCUGCGUUGUAUUAGCUAGUUGGUGAGGUAACGGCUCACCAAGGCGACGAUACAUAGCCGACCUGAGAGGGGGAUCGGCCACACUGGGACUGGGACACGGCCCAGACUCCUACGGGAGGCAGCAGUAGGGAAUCUUCGGCAAUGGACGGAAAUCUGACCGAGCAACGCCGCGUGAGUGAAGAAGGUUUUCGGAUCGUAAAGCUCUGUUGUAAGAGAAGAACGAGUGUGAGAGUGGAAAGUUCACACUGUGACGGUAUCUUACCAGAAAGGGACGGCUAACUACGUG